rnacentral:rRNA from 1 species
UACGGGGGGGGUAAGCGUUGUUCGGAAUUACUGGGCGUAAAGGCUCGUAGGCGGCCAACUAAGUCAGACGUGAAAUCCCUCAGCUUAACUGGGACUGCGUCUGAUACUGGAUGGCUUGGAUCCGGGAGAGGGAUGCGGAAUUCCAGGUGUAGCGGUGAAAUGCGUAGAUAUCUGGAGGAACACCGGUGGCGAAGGCGGCAUCCUGGACCGGUAUUGACGCUGAGGCGCGAAAGCGUGGGGAGCAAACAGGG